GUCGCUUCUGGGCAGGUUACCUACGUGUUACUCACCCGUCCGCCACUCGUUGGCGACCAAAAUCAAUCAGGUGCAAGCACCAUCAAUCAAUUGGGCCAACGCGUUCGACUUGCAUGUAUUAGGCACACCGCCGGCGUUCAUCCUGAGCCAUGAUCAAACUCU
rnacentral:rRNA from 1 species